UGGGGAAUAUUGCGCAAUGGGUGAAAGCCUGACGCAGCGACGCCGCGUGAGGGAAGAAGGCCUUCGGGUCGUAAACCUCUGUCUAGAGGGAAGAAACCAUUGAGGUCGAAGAGGCCUCUUUGCUGACGGUACCUCUGAAUAAGCACCGGCUAACUCCGUGCCAGCAGCCGCGGUAAUACGGGGGGUGCAAGCGUUACUCGGAAUCACUGGGCGUAAAGGGAGCGUAGGCGUUCUAUUAAGUCUUGAGUGAAAGCCCGCAGCCUAACUGCGGAACUGCUCAGGAAACUGAUAGAAUUGAGUAUGGAAGAGGUCAGUGGAAUUUCCAGUGUAGGGGUAAAAUCCGUAGAUAUUGGAAGGAAUACCAGAAGCGAAGGCGACUGACUGGGACAUUACUGACGCUGAGGCUCGAAAGCGUGGGGAGCAAACA
rnacentral:rRNA from 1 species